GAUGAACGCUAGCGGGAGGCUUAACACAUGCAAGUCGAGGGGUAAAUGGCAGCAAUGCUAUGAGACCGGCGGACGGGUGCGUAACGCGUAUGCAACAUACCUUGUGCAGGGGGAUAGCCCGUGGAAACGCGGAUUAAUAUUCCAUAGUCCAGCUGUAUCGCAUGGUAUAGUUGGUAAAGAUUUAUCGGCACAAGUUUGGCAUGCGUCUGAUUAGCUUGUUGGUAGGGUAACGGCCUACCAAGGCUACGAUCAGUAGGGGUUCUGAGAGGAUUAACCCCCACACUGGUACUGAGACACGGCCCAGACUCCUACGGGAGGCAGCAGUGGGGAAUAUUGGGCAAUGGGCGAAAGCCUGACCCAGCGACGCCGCGUGGGUGAUGAAGGCCUUCGGGUUGUAAAACCCUUUCGUGCGGAAAGAAUAGUCCUGUAGCGAAUAACUACGGGAUUUGACGGUACCGCAGGAAGAAGCACCGGACUAACUCCGUGCCAAGCGAGCCGACGGUAAAAGUGGU
rnacentral:rRNA from 1 species